UACGUAGGGCGCAAGCGUUGUCCGGAAUUAUUGGGCGUAAAGAGCUCGUAGGCGGUCUGUCGCGUCCGUUGUGAAAACUCGAGGCUCAACCUCGGGCUUGCAGUGGAUACGGGCAGACUAGAGUGCGGUAGGGGAGACUGGAAUUCCUGGUGUAGCGGUGGAAUGCGCAGAUAUCAGGAGGAACACCGAUGGCGAAGGCAGGUCUCUGGGCCGCAACUGACGCUGAGGAGCGAAAGCGUGGGGAGCAAACGGG
rnacentral:rRNA from 1 species